UACGUAGGUGGCAAGCGUUGUCCGGAUUUACUGGGCGUAAAGAGCGCGCAGGCGGUCGGAUAAGUCGAAUGUGAAAGCCCCCGGCUCAACUGGGGAGGGUCAUUCGAUACUGUUCGACUCGAAGGCAGGAGAGGGAAGUGGAAUUCCCGGUGUAGUGGUGAAAUGCGUAGAUAUCGGGAGGAACACCAGUGGCGAAGGCGACUUCUUGGCCUGUUCUUGACGCUGAGGCGCGAAAGCUAGGGGAGCAAACGGG
rnacentral:rRNA from 1 species